GGCUUUAGUGGCGGACUGGUGAGUAACGCGUGAGCAACCUGCCUAUUAGAGGGGAAUAACAGUGAGAAAUCAUUGCUAAUACCGCAUAUGCCAUGAACAUCACAUGAUGAAAAUGGGAAAGGAGCAAUCCGCUAAUAGAUGGGCUCGCGUCUGAUUAGAUAGUUGGUGGGGUAAUGGCCUACCAAGUCGACGAUCAGUAGCCGGACUGAGAGGUUGAACGGCCACAUUGGGACUGAGAUACGGCCCAGACUCCUACGGGAGGCAGCAGUCGGGAAUAUUGCGCAAUGGAGGAAACUCUGACGCAGUGACGCCGCGUAUAGGAAGAAGGUUUUCGGAUUGUAAACUAUUGUCGUUAGGGAAGAUAAAAGACAGUACCUAAGAAAAAGCACCGGCUAAAUACGUGCCAGCAGCCGCGGUAAUACGUAUGGUGCAAGCGUUAUCCGGAUUUACUGGGUGUAAAGGGAGCGUAGACGGACUUGCAAGUCUGAAGUGAAAGCCCGGGGCUCAACCCCGGGACUGCUUUGGAAACUGUAGGUCUAGAGUGCUGGAGAGGUAAGUG
rnacentral:rRNA from 1 species